rnacentral:lncRNA from 10 species
CUGAGGACAGGAUCUCUGAAGGAAUAGUAACAUGGUGUACAGGAAGAAUUGAUGUUUGCUGGGAACCUGACACACUCCAAGCCUGAGGUCCCUGAGCAACUUCCCACCUCACUCCAUCCCUCCUUCUCCCCUACCCACUUACUCUCAGGUAGAGAGCAAGCCUCACACACAACCUGGGGAGAGUCCAGGCUGCAGUGCAAGGGCAGAGUAAAGAACUCCAGGCUGAAAAUGCAUCAAGUCGGGGAGCUCCACCUGCCUGAGGAAGAGCUCCUCCAUCAGACCACACCUCCUGCCAAACAGACAUACCUGGGGACCAGGUAAUGCUGUGAGCCAGUCUGAGAGAGCCUUGCUGGGUGGUGAAUGCAUUCGGGGACCAGACGUGGCAUGGAUGGGGAAGGUCUCCCCACUUUGAGGUAAAGUAUUGUUUCUGGCACUAAAUGUGAAUGCCUGUCUUCCAGGUGGGUGGUUCUAUAAUCACACGGAAUUGAACUGCUUAAAUACAUGUGCGCCUUCACAUAUGUAUCUUAUGACCUGAAGGUUUCAACCUUUUGCUGUAAAGAUCAAGACUUCUGUAAUAGAAAUAAAGGACAAUUAAUGACCACGAAGACUGACUGACCAUCACUUCCUUGGCAGUGGUGGUUUGCCCUUCACCUCUUUCUGUGCCAGUAUCUCUGGUGUGCUCCCCCUCCCCACGUGCUCCUGCUGAGCCUGCAGGAUCCUGGAGUGCCCUCCAAGUAUCCCUCCUCACUUCUCUCCAGGCUACUGGCUCCAUCCUUCUGACGCCAAAUACUCUCAGUUCACCCUGUGAUAUUGUUGCGAUGUUUGUCCCCUCUAAAUCUCAUGUUGAAAUGUGAUCCCCAAUAUUGGAGGUGAGGUCUGAUGAAAGGUGUUUUGGUCAUGGGAGCAGAUUUCUCAUGAAUGGCUUGAUGCCCUCCUCAUGGGAAUGAGUGAGUUCUCACUGUAUUAGUUGACAUGAGAGCUGUGGUUUAAAAGAGCCUGGCACCUCCUCUCCUCUCUCUUGCUUUGUUUCUUACCAUGUGGCACCCCUGCUCCCCCUUUGCCUUCUGCCAUGAAUAAAAGCUUUCUGAGGCCUCACCAGAAGCCAAGCAGAUGCUGCUUCCAUGUUUGUGCAGCCAGUAUAGCCAUGAGCCAAAAUAAACCUUUUUUCCUUAUAAAUUACCCCGUCUCAGGUAUUCCUUUAUAACAAUGCCAAAUGGAUUAACCCUCGCUUCAUUCUCGUCUUCAUUCACAUCUGCUCAUCCCCAGCAGCCCUGUGUCGCUUGCAUCUUCUCAGCCCUCACCAUUCCUGCAUUAAUUUGACUGACUAACUGCCCAGUUUCCAGUACCAACAACUUAGCAGUGACUGUAGAGAGCACAGAAAGGUAAUGGGCUCCAUUUCAUACACCAGGAGGCAGAGGGGUCAGGGGAAAACUCAGGAAAACAUGUCCACUUGGCAGAGGGACAGAGAGGGCUUAACGUCCAGGAAGGUAUCAAGGCCUGGGGCAGACCAGUGGGGUCAUCAGCUUUAGAUGCCACCUACACACCCAGAACCUACUGAUAGCCUAAGUUAUGAGAUGGAAAGAAGUAACCAGUGAGUUGAGUGAGAACAGGGGUGGAUGAAUCAUAGACACUAGCGACCACCCAAAUACAAAGGCAGUGAAGGUCUCUCUCCAAAAGAUUGUUGAGUGGUGGUCAGAGAAGUAGCAGGGGAGCCAGCAUUCAGCGGCAUCACUGUCUGCUUGGACAACGUGGAGUCUGGGGCAGAGCAGCCUCACUGGGGAAGUGGGACAGAAGCCGCAUUUCACUGGAUGAGGAAAGAGGAGUCUGGGACAGGAGGAAAUGGUGAGUAAGCGCAGCUCUUCCAAAAAGUGUAGGAAGAAUGGAGAGAGUGGAGUCAAAUUUUGUAAAGAAGAAUGAGUGUAAUAUGUUUUUAGGCAAAAGAAGGUGUGUCUUCUCAUUUUUUCACAUUCCUUUAAUGUAAAAUUUCUCUUGUUUUGGCUAUAGGAGUCUUUGUCAUCAUCUUAUUAUCUCUCUCAAUGCAUAGUUAAACAUUUUUUCUCCCAUUCUAUAAUUAAUAUAUCCUGCUCGUUUUGUCUAUCUCUUUCUGCUUCUUUUUCUUUUCAUGUCUCUGCC